CUGGAUAGCUCAGUUGGCAGAGCACGAGAUUCAUAAUCUCAGGGUUGUGGGUUCGAGCCCCAUAGGGUGUGAAAGA